CUGCGGCAUGCCUAAGACAUGCAAGUCGUACGAGAUGACCCAUUGAAGUUUGAGUGCUUGCACAAUUCUGAUUUGGAUUUUCAUCUAGUGGCGGACGGGUGAGUAACACGUGGGUGACCUACCUUUGAGUUUGGGAUAACUAUUGGAAACGAUAGCUAAUACCGAAUGAUAUACAAAUUCAUUUUUGUAUUAAAAGGUGCUUUCAAGCACCGCUCUUAGAUGGGCCUGCGGCGUAUUAGCUAGUUGGUGAGGUAAUGGCUUACCAAGGCGACGAUGCGUAGCCGGACUGAGAGGUUGAACGGCCACAUUGGGACUGAGACACGGCCCAAACUCCUACGGGAGACAGCAGUUAGGAAUAUUCGUCAAUGGGGGAAACCCUGAACGAGCAAUGCCGCGUGAGUGAUGAAGGUCUUUUGGACUGUAAAACUCUGUUGUAUGGGAAGAAUGACUAAACUAGGAAAUGAGUUUAGUGUGACGGUACCAUACCAGAAAGCUCCGGCUAACUACGUGCCAGCCGCAGC
rnacentral:rRNA from 1 species